GUUUAGCUCAUCGACAUAUUUCUGGAUCUCACAGGAGGAGAGGACGUAGUCCCACAUGUGGACAUCGGACAUCAUGCCAACGAACGACUGGUUGAUGUCAAAGCCUCCGCCGUGGGAAUCCUGCUCCUGUACAGGGAUGGCAGGACAUGCUGCCAUCAUCACCAGGAGAAACACCAGCAACAUCUGACACAGAAAAAAAACAUCCACAAUUCAACAGAAGGGGUUGACACAUUAAAUGAUUCACAUGGUUGUCAUUGGCAGCGUCUGAUGCCCCUUCCUGACGCAGCCCCUCAGGACCAGCACAGAGGUCACUGACUUGCAACUCCUGCAGCUAGAUUCAAACCCGCGCCAAGCAUUGUGCCAAACUGGUGGCCACUACUGCCUCUACUACUGACUCUACUGUCAAAUUUAUGAAGAAAAAAAACAAUAACUACAUUUCUAUUAGUUAUAUAUUAGCACUUGAUAUAUCAUACACCUUACUAAAAUCAAUUAAAAAUAUAUUAGGUCAAUAUGUCUUUAGAACCAAAACUAUGUUUGUAAACCAGAGUUCCCAGGUACGUUAUGAUUAAUCUGUAAAUAGUAAAAUGUUCUAAAAUAGUUUAAUUUCUGAGAUACUGAUUUAUUCCAUGAAUGUGUAAAUGUCUGAUAUACUGUAUAUUAAAUAUAUUUUGUAAUGAAUACACAUUCAAUCAUACUGGCUCCAGUCCUGGAUCAUCAACCAUACAUGACGGUAGGUUUGGCAACUGGUUCAGGCGUCUUGAGGUAAGAUUUAUCGAUAUUUUAAUUUAAUUAAUUAAUAAAAGUAAUAAACACAUGCAAUAUCUUGACAGCAACAAUUGCUGUCACACCAUGCCUCUGUAGGCAUUCACCGUUCCCACAUUGGCAUUUAAUUACAGACAAAUACGGCAAAAUAUAAACUGCAGCUGAAGACCCCAUUAUGGAAAAAAUAUUUUGACACAGCAGGGGCAUGAAAAUGAAAAAAACAAAAAAUGAGUUUAUAUCAGUGUAUCGAGCUAUGCUCCCAAACAGGCUGUUGUUGUGUUAUGAAUAUUCUGUUGUAUUAACUCAGGCUGUUUAUUGGCAACCAUUAGUAUUAGCGUUAGCAGACGCUAAUCAAGUUGAGCAUUAUAUAAAUCAAUAAAUUAAAUUAAAUGUGAAAUUGCCAGUUAGACGUACCUUGCCCCAGUCGAAGUGUAACCACUUUAACAGCCUCCCAUUUGACUUCAGAGUCAGAUUUUGGAUUAAACGUAUGGUUGAACUCCUCUAUGAGGACGAGAAAAGUUACAGACACCUUACUGAGACAUUAAGGUCCAAUUCUUUAGCAUUGUGGAGCAUGAAAAAAGCUUGUGCAUUGACCUUUAAUCGGAAUUCCAAUAAAUUCUGUGGAGAACACAGUUAUACUAAAUCCUCCUUGUUAAGUAAAGAAUA